rnacentral:lncRNA from 1 species
UUCGUUCCAUCGCCUGCCGUCGUGUACAAAGAUAGUCGUUGUCUGACCUCGACGAGAGCUUUUCGAUCAACUUGGUCUUUCAGUCGUCGCCGCCAAGACAUCAACCAUGCCGCCCAAGCCUCUCAAGAAGCCCAAGGCCCAGAAGAAAGAGUACGACGAGGUAUGUAGCGCUGAUCUACAAGCGUAUGCACCACCCCUGCUUAUUAGUUUUCUUACAAUUCGAAGGUUAACUAGAUGAUCGCCAAUUACUUUAGCUGUUGUCGAGCAAAUCGAUCGCCAAUUGCUUUCCUGCAAUCUAUAGUUGUUUGUUUCGUAGCAUGGACAAAUUGAUGGAAUCUGAACCUGGGUUUUCUCUGUUCUGCAGACCGAUUUGGAGAACUUGAAGAAGAAGAAAGAGGACGAGAAGGCCGUCAAGGAACUCAAGGCCAAGGCUGCGCAGAAGGGCCCGCUCGGAGGCGCCGGUCUCAAGAAGAGCGGCAAAAAGUGAUCCUGCCACUACUCUUUUUCCAAGACUUAUUAGUUAUCUGAACUUAGGAGCUUCUGAAGAAAAUGGCCGAAGAAAGCUACUUUGGAUAGUUGAUUUGGUUUCAGCGUUUGUGUAACCUUUUCCUGUACGAAUUGAGUUUUUACGACAUUUUCAUGAGCUAAAUUACAUUUUCUGUUCAUCUUUAAUCACAUUGUUUUCUUCUGUUAGCUACUUUGAUUGAUG